CAGUAACACGUAGUCAACCUACCCUAUGGACGAGAAUAAUCUCGGGAAACUGAGCAUAAUUCUCGAUAGAUCAUAAUGCCUGGAAUGGUUUAUGGUUAAAAUGAUUCGUCGCCAUAGGAUGGGACUGCGGCCUAUCAGCUUGUUGGUGAGGUAAUGGCCCACCAAGGCGAUUACAGGUACGGGCUCUGAGAGGAGAAGCCCGGAGAUGGGUACUGAGACACGGACCCAGGUCCUAUGGGGCGCAGCAGGCGAGAAAACUUUGCAAUGUGCGAAAGCACGACAAGGUUAAUCCGAGUGUUUCCUGCUAAAGGAAUCUUUUGUUAGUCAUAAAACCACUAUCGAAUAAGGGGUGGGCAAGUUCUGGCGUCAGCCGCCGCGGUAAAACCAGCACCUCAAGUGGUCAGGAGGAUUAUUGGGCCUAAAGCAUCCGUAGCCGGCUUUGUUAGUUUUCGGUUAAAUCCAUAUGCUCAACAUAUGGGCUGCCGGGAAUACUGCAUAGCUAGGGAGUGGGAGAGGUAGACGGUACUCCGUAGGAAGGGGUAAAAUCCUUUGGUCUAUGGAUGACCACCUGUGGCGAAGGCGGUCUACCAGAACACGUCCGACGGUGAGGGAUGAAAGCUGGGGGAGCAAACCGGAUUAGAUACCCGGGUAGUCACAGCUGUAAACUAUGCAAACUCGGUGAUGCAUUGGCUUGUGGCCAGCGCAGUGCCGCAGGGAAGCCGUUAAGUUUGCCGCCUGGGAAGUACGUACGCAAGUAUGAAACUUAAAGGAAUUGGCGGGGGAGCACCACAAGGGGUGAAGCCUGCGGUUCAAUUGGAGUCAACGCCAGAAAUCUUACCCGGAGAGACAGCAGAAUGAAGGUCAAGCUGAAGACUUUACCAGACAAGCUGAGAGGUGGUGCAUGGCCGUCGUCAGCUCGUGCCGUGAGAUGUCCUGUUAAGUCAGGUAACGAGCGAGAUCCCUGCCUCUAGUUGCCACCAUUACUCUCAGGAGUAGUGGGGCGAAUUAGAGGGACCGCUGCAGUUAAUGUGGAGGAAGGAAGGGGCCACGGCAGGUCAGUAUGCCCCGAAACUCUGGGGCCACACGCGGGCUGCAAUGGUAGUGACAAUGGGUCCCGAAUCCGAAAGGAGGAGGCAAUCCUCAAACGCUACCUCAGUUAUGAUUGAGGGCUGUAACUCGCCCUCAUGAAUAUGGAAUCCC
rnacentral:rRNA from 1 species